rnacentral:rRNA from 1 species
AUCUUCCACAAUGGACGAAGGUCUGAUGGAGCAACGCCGCGUGAGUGAUGAAGGGUUUCGGCUCGUAAAACUCUGUUGUUGGAGAAGAACGGGUGUCAGAGUAACUGUUGACAUCGUGACGGUAUCCAACCAGAAAGCCACGGCUAACUACGUGCCAGCAGCCGCGGUAAUACGUAGGUGGCAAGCGUUGUCCGGAUUUAUUGGGCGUAAAGCGAGCGCAGGCGGUUUUUUAGGUCUGAUGUGAAAGCCUUCGGCUUAACCGGAGAAGUGCAUCGGAGACCGGGAGACUUGAGUGCAGAAGAGGACAGUGGAACUCCAUGUGUAGCGGUGAAAUGCGUAGAUAUAUGGAAGAACACCAGUGGCGAAGGCGGCUGUCUGGUCUGCAACUGACGCUGAGGCUCGAAAGCAUGGGUAGCGAACAGG